UCGAGGAUCUUCCGCAAUGGACGAAAGUCUGACGGAGCGACACCGCGUGUAGGAUGAAGGCCCUAUGGGUUGUAAACUACUGUCACGCUUUAGGAAACGCUUCAUGUUAAUACCAUGAAGCCUGACCAUGGCGAAAGGAAGCGCCGGCUAACCCUGUGCCAGCAGCCGCGGUAAUACAGGGGGGCGCAAACGUUGUUCGGAAUUACUGGGCGUAAAGCGCACGUAGGCGGAUUGUUAAGUCAGAGGUGAAAUCCCGGAGCUCAACUUCGGAACUGCCUUUGAUACUGGCAAUCUAGAGUCCGGAAGAGGUUAGUGGAAUUCCCAGUGUAGAGGUGAAAUUCGUAGAGAUCGGAAGGAACACCAGUGGCGAAGGCGGCUACCUGGCCUGAUACUGACACUGAGGCACGAAAGCGUGGGGAGCAAACAGGAUUAGAUACCCAAGUAGUCCCUGAGCGGGCUGGCAAGGCGCAU
rnacentral:rRNA from 1 species